AUGCAAGUCGAGGGGUAACAGAGGUAGCAAUACCUGCUGACGACUGGCGUACGGGUGAGUAACGCGUAUGCAACCUACCCUGUACUGGGGGAUAGCCCGGAGAAAUUCGGAUUAAUACCCCAUAAUGAUAAUUGAAGGCAUCUUCAAUUAUUUAAAGUUUCGACGGUACGGGAUGGGCAUGCGUAACAUUAGCUUGUUGGUAAGGUAACGGCUUACCAAGGCUACGAUGUUUAGGGGUCCUGAGAGGGUGAUCCCCCACACUGGUACUGAGACACGGACCAGACUCC
rnacentral:rRNA from 1 species